AUUGAACGCUGGCGGCAUGCCUUACACAUGCAAGUCGAACGGUAACGGGUCUUCGGAUGCUGACGAGUGGCGAACGGGUGAGUAAUACAUCGGAACGUGCCCGAGAGUGGGGGAUAACGAGGCGAAAGCUUUGCUAAUACCGCAUACGAUCUCAGGAUGAAAGCAGGGGACCGCAAGGCCUUGUGCUCACGGAGCGGCCGAUGGCAGAUUAGGUAGUUGGUGGGAUAAAAGCUUACCAAGCCGACGAUCUGUAGCAGGUCUGAGAGGACGACCAGCCACACUGGGACUGAGACACGGCCCAGACUCCUACGGGAGGCAGCAGUGGGGAAUUUUGGACAAUGGGCGCAAGCCUGAUCCAGCCAUGCCGCGUGCAGGAUGAAGGCCUUCGGGUUGUAAACUGCUUUUGUACGGAACGAAAAGACUCUGGUUAAUACCUGGGGUCCAUGACGGUACCGUAAGAAUAAGCACCGGCUAACUACGUGCCAGCCGCCGCAGUAACAC
rnacentral:rRNA from 1 species